ensembl:lncRNA
UUGAUUAUAAUAGCACUUCUGAAACAGUAAAGCAGCUAUGGGGGCAAAUAAAGGUAAAGCAAAGGGGGAAAAAACAUGGUUUACCCAUUUACCAUGGCUACCCAAAUAAGAGGAUCCGGUUACUCACACGGGCCUACCUUACUAAUUAGCUGAUGAGCUGAGUCAGGUGUGUUUAAUGAGACAGUGCUGUGGUCUGGAAAGGAACCUAGUUUUUUAAAUCCCUUCUAUUCGCCAUUUCUUGUUGUUCAGGGAGACUCUUUUGGGCUUGGCUUUAAAUACAUAAAUGACUUGGGGUCAUUCCGCUAUUUUCCAUUGGUAACAGUCUGGCAAGGAGUUAAAGAAAAAAGCCGAGGAGUAAGCCACACACAAUGGCCCAAGAUGAGUUGGCCUGUUAUGUUACAGGAGUUUGCUAAUUAGCUUCUUCCUUCCAUGAAUAAGAGGAGUCAGUGGAAAUCCCUCAUACAGGUGGAUCAUCAAACAUGUGAGUCUAGCCAUCACAAAAAAGUUGCAUUUUCCCAUCAGACUGUAAUCUCGUAGCAUAAUGAAAAC